UAGAUUAAAAACCUCGGUCAC
rnacentral:piRNA from 1 species